CCCUGGCGGCGGGCACUGGAGCACCCAGGUCGCUCACGGGCUACCUUUGCGGGGAGACCCCCUUGCGGCUGACUUAGGGGCUGGAGGAGGCUCUCCGCGGCGACGUUGCCCUAACACUCGAGCGCCAGCUGUGGGCAGCUGGUACACGCGUCCAGCUCUGCCUCAGGGGAGCUGCUGGCUCUCCUGGCUCGGUGGAUCCUCACACAGCUUCACCUGAGGAUCCUGUGAAGUGAUGGGGGGGGGGGGGAGAGGGCCGGGAUGCUCAACAAAUUCAAAUUCCCUCUAGCAGAUUUCCAGGACCUCAGUCUGAGGACAGUAGGUUCCAGGGACCUUCGUCCUCCAGUGAUCCAGACCCAUCCUCCAGGCAGCGGCUCACUCUAGCCAGGGGUUUAAUCCUGAGGCUCCUGGUUUGCCUCAUGAAAUGCCUGCCAGCGGGCCACCUGAGCCAGCAUGUAAUCUGCGCUGUGCCUGCACACAUUUCUCGCCUGAGACUGGGGCGUUGCUGUGGACGGUCUGGGAGGUCUCCAGCAGUUAUCCAGCCUACAGGAUUACAGGGAGCCAGGAAAGGAAGCAACACACCAGCCAUACAAGCCCGGAAGGGAAAACUAGUUCCUUCUGGCCAAGAGGAUGGAAUCUCUAAACUAUGGAAGGAUUACCUGUCAGCAAGACAGGACCAGUCCCAGGAAGACAGGCUCACUGCAAGCUCUGCUGAAGGAUAGGCAGGGUAAUUGUCCUUUUAAUGAGAUACUACACAUUUCCUUCCCAGAAUUCCUGUCCCCCCCCCACCUGUCCCAGCACAGUUCCUACAAGCUGCCAUGAGGUUCUCAAGUCUACUUUUCUCUUUCCCCUUUUUUUGUCCUUUUAAAUGUUUGUCAAUCCUAAAUUUGCUAAUACUUUGGGCUUCCCCUAAAGCCCUGCUCUCUUCUAUAGGGCUGACCUCCGUGCUGGCUUAACCGAAAUUCAACUUGUUGAAUCCUUUCUCUUCACUCUUCUUUCUUCAGAUACAGAAGGUUUUGUUUGUUUUUGAUAAGGGUCUCACUAUGUAGACCUGGCUGGCCUCAAGUUCAGAGGUCUGCCUGCUGCUGCCUUCCCUAAAGGUGUGUGCCACCAUACCCAGACAAGUUUUCCUUUAAAUAAUUUAUUUUUAUGUGCAUUGGUGUUUGACUGCACAUAUGUCUGUGUGAGGGUGUCAGAUCAUCUGGAACAGGAGUUACAGACAGUUGUGAGCUGCCAUGUGGGUGCUGGGAAUUGAACCCAGGUUCUCUGGAAGAGCAGCCAGUGCUCUUAACCGCUGAGCCAUCUCUCCAGCCCCAAGUUUUCCUUUUAAACUGUAAUAAAACUGUCCUCUUUGAAUAAACUUUGGCUUUGCUUGA